rnacentral:rRNA from 1 species
GAUGAACGCUGGCGGCGUGCCUAAUACAUGCAAGUCGAACGGGGAGUAGCAAUACUCUUAGUGGCGAACGGGGGAGUAACGCGUUGGUACCUGCCCCGAAACGGUGCAUAACGGACCGAAAGGUCCGCGAAUACCCCAUGCGCUCGGCAACGAGUAAAGGUGACACCCACUUUGGGAGGUGCAUGAGUCCCAUCAGCUAGUUGGUAAGGUAACGGCUUACCAAGGAGAUGACGGGUAGGGUACCUGAGAGGGUGGCCCCCCACAAUUGAGCGGCGACACGGUCCAGACUCCUACGGGUGGCGGCAGUAGGGAAUAUUGGUAAUGGGCGCAAGCCUGGACCAUCAUCGCCUCGUGUGCGAUGACGGUCUUCGGGUUGUAAAGCUCUUUUGACUGGUACGAGGAAUGACGGUACCGAACGAAUCAGCCUCGGCUAACUACGUG